GGUUGGGAGUAAGUUGUUCAUUGGUGGAACUGGAAAGGCAAUAAUACGCUGCUAAGAAAAUGAAAGCAAAUACCACUACCAUCACCGUCCAAGUCGUCUAAAACAAAGUUAGUAAAAGCACCAACCACAACCACACAAACAUCUGAUGCAAAGAAGAAAAUGGUCUUCACGCCAGAGAAAAAGGCACCAACUACAGAACAAACAUCUCAUCCCACAUGUCCCAAGAAAAAGAUAGUCUUCACGCCAGACAAAAUGAAGAAAAGAUUAGAUUGACUGUAGACCACUGGUGAUUUGUCGAAGAUUCGGUACCAUUCGAUUAAGAAUUCUACGAGUUAAUGAGCUGAACUUGAAGACAGUCUGUAAACAAUUUGAAGACGAAAUAUAAGGUAGGU